rnacentral:SRP_RNA from 1 species
GCCGGGCGCAGUGGCUCAAGCCUGUAAUCCCAGCACUUUGGGAGGCCAAGAUGGGCGGAUCACGAGGUCAGGAGAUCGAGACCAUCCUGGCUAACAUGGUGAAACCCCGUCUCUACUUAAAAAAUACAAAAACUAGCCGGGCGAGGUGGCGGGCGCCUNNNNNNNNNNACCUCGCCCGGCUAGGUUUUUGUCUUUUUUUAAGUAGAGACGGGGUUUCACCAUGUUAGCCAGGAUGGUCUCGAUCUCCUGACCUCGUGAUCCGCCUGUCUC